rnacentral:rRNA from 1 species
GCUUAGCCCUAAACCUCAGUAGUUAAACCAACAAAACUACUCGCCAGAAUACUACAAGCAACCGCUUGAAACUCAAAGGACUUGGCGGUGCUUCACACCCCCCUAGAGGAGCCUGUCCCAUAAUCGAUAAACCCCGAUCCACCCCACCCUCUCUUGCUCAGCCUAUAUACCGCCAUCUUCAGCGAACCCUGAUAAAGGUUAACAAAGUGAGCGCAAGUGCCCCUUCCGCAAAAACGUUAGGUCAAGGUGUAGCUUAUGAGAUGGAAAAAGAUGGGCUACAUUUUCUAUCCUAGAAAACCCACGAUAACUCUCAUGAAACCUAAGAGUCUAAGGAGGAUUUAGCAGUAAAUUAAGAAUAGAGUGCUUAAUUGAACGAGGCCAUAAAGCACGC